AUGUCGAAGAAGAAGGCGGUGACGACGAUGACGCUCAAGGACUUCCACGGCGGCUCCAUCCCCUCCGAGCUCCCUCUCCCCUCCGCCCCUGGCGUCUCUGCACGACCGCCCGACCGCCCCACGGCCGCUCCGUCCGCCUCUUCGACUGCAUCCGCGCGCCCGCGGACUCCCGCCGCUUCCUCCGCAGCGGCGGCGGCUGCCGCUGUCCCUUCCUUCCUCACCAAUCCCUCCCGCAUCGGCCGCCACUUCGAUGAGGACGAGCGCACGCCCUUCGAGCUGGCCGCGCCUCGCCGCCCUGGGCCGUCGCCCCCGUCGUUCCCAUCCGUGCCGGCGGUGGCCCCCGCUAGAUCUGGACCGGGUAACGCCUGGGGUGCGAAGAGGGAGGUCGCUCCAGCCGCGCCGCCGGUUGUUCCUGCCGCCAGCAGCGGUCAGAUCUGGUCGGCGACGCGCAUCGCGCAGGCGAGCGCUGUGGAGAAGGUAAUCUCCGGUAGGUGGCAUUUGUCCAAGCCCUCCUCCCCGCCCGCCUCUGUGUCGGCACCAGUGCUGGAGACUCAGGUGGUCUCGCCUGAGAUGGAGAGGUCAGGGUUGGUUGGAACGAGAGGGUUUGACAGUGCCAUCGAGAGACCAAGGUCGUUGGCUGUGAGAGAGCUGGACGGUGCCAUGGAGAGGCCAAGGUCAGUUGGAUUAAGAGGGUUGGACGUUGCAAUGGAGAAGGGUGUGGAACCAGUGAGGCCUGCAUCACAUGAAGGCAGGGUUGGGGAAGGGAAAAUCGGAGAGGUGCCAGAAAGGCCCAAGCUGAAGCUGCUUCCUCGUUCCAAGCCAAUCGAAUCCCCUGCACCAUCACCUACCUAUAUUGAAGAGAAGCAGGUCCUUCCGGUCCCUGUGAUAGCAAGUGUCAUUCAGGUUGAGGUUGUUCAUGAAGCGCGCCAGAAUGUGAUGGUAGCCAAAACGGGAGUGGCAGGGGCAGAUGCUGAAAGCAGGGCAACUGUGGAGCGACCACGGCUGAAUCUGAAACCUCGCUCUAAUGGAGUGGGUCAGUCUGGUGAAAGUGCUGCGAAGGAGAGGCCAUCCCUCUUUGGUGGUGCUCGCCCCCGGGAACAAGUUCUCAGAGAUCGUGGUGUGGAUGCUUUGGCAAGUGACCUCGAGAUCACCUCUCCAGUUGGCAGUGUGUCAUCUAGGUCCAAAAAUGAAUUUGCAAAGGUCGAGCAGAAGGUUGAAGCUAUGACCAUUAACCCUUCAGGCGAAAAGGCUGAUAGUUUUGCAGUUGGUCACAGAGGCCCAAGGAAUGCUGAUAGGAAAGAUUACAGGCGGGAUACAGACAGGGCUGAUGCAUACAGGCCUACACGACGCGAUGAGAACAGGAAGGUUGCUAGAGAUGUGGAAAAGCAGCCUGAACAACAACGCCCAGAGCCUGAAACCUGGCGUAAACCAGUGGAGCCACCAAAGCCUGAGGUUACUGCACCUCGGUUUGGGAAAGCAGCGACUGCCUUGGAGCUCGCCCAAGCCUUCUCCAAGUCCAUGUCUGAUACUGUGCCGCAGUCUCGCUUGACCAGUGUUCCUAGUCCAAGAGUUCCUCCGAAGCCAGGGGCUAGGGAUCAGGUUGGCUUUUCAAGGCUCACUGACAACGGGGCAUUGCACUCUGGAUCUUCACAGCGAAAGAUUAACGGUUACUGA
rnacentral:rRNA from 1 species